CCUACGGGGUGCUGCAGUCGAGAAUCAUUCGCAAUGGGCGCAACCCUGAUGGUGCAACGCCGCGUGAGGGAAUGAAGUUCUUCGGAUUGUAAACCCCUUUCAUGUGGGAGCAAAUGAAAAAGAUAAUACCACAAGAGCAAGAGACUGCUAACUCUGUGCCAGCAGCCGCGGUAAUACACAGGUCUCAAGCGAGGUUCGGAGUCACUGGGCGUAAGGCGUUCGUAGGCGGUUUCGUAAGUCGUGUGUGAAAGGCGCGGGCUCAACCCGCGGACGGCAAAGGAUACUGGGAGACUAGAGUAAUGGAGGGGGAAGCGGAAUUCUAGGUGUAGCAGUGAAAUGCGUAGAUAUAGAGAGGAACACUCGUGGCGAAGGCGAGUUCCUGGACAUUAACUGACGCUGAGGCACGAAGGCGAGGGGAGCGAAAGGGAUUAGAUACCCUGGUAGUC
rnacentral:rRNA from 1 species